rnacentral:rRNA from 1 species
CCAGCGGUAAUACGUAGGUGGCAAGCGUUGUCCGGAAUUAUUGGGCGUAAAGGGCUCGCAGGCGGUUUCUUCUGAUGUGAAAGCCCCCGGCUCAACCGGGGAGGGUCAUUGGAAACUGGGAAACUUGAGUGCAGAAGAGGAGAGUGGAAUUCCACGUGUAGCGGUGAAAUGCGUAGAGAUGUGGAGGAACACCAGUGGCGAAGGCGACUCUCUGGUCUGUAACUGACGCUGAGGAGCGAAAGCGUGGGGAGCGAACAGGAUUAGAUACCCUGGUAGUCCACGCCGUAAACGAUGAGUGCUAAGUGUUAGGGCGCCCCUUAGUGCUGCAGACGCAUUAAGCACUCCGCCUGGGGAGUACGGUCGCAAGACUGAAACUUGAC